rnacentral:rRNA from 1 species
GACGAACGCUGGCGGCGUGCUUAACACAUGCAAGUCGAACGGAAAGGCCCUGCUUUUGUGGGGUGCUCGAGUGGCAAACGGGUGAGUAACACGUGAGUAACCUGCCCUUGACUUUGGGAUAACUUCAGGAAACUGGGGCUAAUACCGGAUAGGAGCUCCUGCUGCAUGGUGGGGGUUGGAAAGUUUCGGCGGUUGGGGAUGGACUCGCGGCUUAUCAGCUUGUUGGUGGGGUAGUGGCUUACCAAGGCUUUGACGGGUAGCCGGCCUGAGAGGGUGACCGGCCACAUUGGGACUGAGAUACGGCCCAGACUCCUACGGGAGGCAGCAGUGGGGAAUAUUGCACAAUGGGCGGAAGCCUGAUGCAGCAACGCCGCGUGCGGGAUGACGGCCUUCGGGUUGUAAACCGCUUUCGCCUGUGACGAAGCGUGAGUGACGGUAAUGGGUAAAGAAACACCGGCGAACUACGU